rnacentral:rRNA from 1 species
CCUACGGGAGGCAGCAGUAGGGAAUCUUCCACAAUGGGCGCAAGCCUGAUGGAGCAACACCGCGUGAGUGAAGAAGGGUUUCGGCUCGUAAAGCUCUGUUGUUGGAGAAGAACGUGCGUGAGAGUAACUGUUCACGCAGUGACGGUAUCCAACCAGAAAGUCACGGCUAACUACGUGCCAGCAGCCGCGGUAAUACGUAGGUGGCAAGCGUUAUCCGGAGUUAUUGGGCGUAAAGCGAGCGCAGGCGGUCGAUUGGGUCUGAUGUGAAAGCCUUGGGCUUAACCGAGGAAGUGCAUCUGAAACUGGUCGACUUGAGUGCAGAAGAGGAGAGUGGAAUUCCAUGUGUAGCGGUGGAAUGCGUAGAGAUAUGGAAGAACACCAGUGGCGAAGGCGGCUGCCUGGUCUGCAACUGACGCUGAGGUGCGAAAGCAUGGGUAGCGAACAGGAUUAGAUACCCCUGUAGUC